rnacentral:rRNA from 1 species
GACGAACGCUGGCGGCGUGCUUAACACAUGCAAGUCGAACGGAAAGGCCCUGCUUGCAGGGUGCUCGAGUGGCGAACGGGUGAGUAACACGUGGGUGAUCUGCCCCUUACUUUGGGAUAAGCCUGGGAAACGGGGUCUAAUAUGGGUAAGGACAAUGUGGUGGUGGGUGGGGUGGAAGGAUUAGUUUGGGUAAGGGAUGAGCUCGGGGCUUAUCAGCUGGUUGGGGGGGUAAUGGCCUACCAAGGCGUCGACGGGUAGCCGGCCUGAGAGGGUGGACGGCCACAGUGGGACUGAGAUACGGCCCAGACUCCUACGGGAGGCAGCAGUGGGGAAUAUUGCACAAUGGGCGCAAGCCUGAUGCAGCGACGCCGCGUGGGGGAUGACGGCCUUCGGGUUGUAAACUCCUUUCAGCCAUGACGAAGCCCUUGUGGUGACGGUAGUGGUAGAAGAAGCACCGGCUAACUACGUG